AAUAAGUGAAGUUUUAGCACUGUUCAUGUCCAACGUUUGACCGUUCGUCUUAUUUAAAAAUUUUUUAUGAUUACUACUUUUAUUGUUAUUAGAUGAUAAAACAUGAAUAGGACUGAAUUUUUUAAUAUUUUUCAUAAAUUUUUCAAAUAAGACGGAUGGUCAAAACGAUGAACACGGAUAUCUAUGCCUGCACUUAUU
rfam:Oryza glumipatula chromosome 1, whole genome shotgun sequence.